GGGAGCUUCGGCGCAAGUGAAA
rnacentral:snRNA from 1 species